rnacentral:rRNA from 1 species
UACGUAGGUGGCAAGCGUUGUCCGGAUUUACUGGGCGUAAAGAGCUCGUAGGCGGCCAACUAAGUCGGACGUGAAAUCCCCAGGCUCAACCUGGGAACUGCGUCCGAUACUGGAUGGCUUGAAUCCGGGAGAGGGAUGCAGAAUUCCAGGUGUAGCGGUGAAAUGCGUAGAUAUCUGGAGGAAUACCGGUGGCGAAGGCGGCAUCCUGGACCGGCAUUGACGCUGAGGAGCGAAAGCCAGGGGAGCAAACGGG